rnacentral:rRNA from 1 species
UACGUAGGGGGCAAGCGUUGUCCGGAAUCAUUGGGCGUAAAGCGCGUGUAGGCGGCUCGGUAAGUCCGCUCUGAAAGUCGGGGGCUCAACCCUCGGAUGCGGGUGGAUACUGCCGGGCUAGAGUGCGGAAGAGGCGAGUGGAAUUCCUGGUGUAGCGGUGAAAUGCGCAGAUAUCAGGAGGAACACCAAUUGCGAAGGCAGCUCGCUGGGACGUUACUGACGCUGAGACGCGAAAGCGUGGGGAGCAAACAGG